CCUAAGGUAGCGAAAUUCCUUGUCAGGUAAGUUCUGACCCGCACGAAUGGCGUAACGACUUGAGAGCUGUCUCAACAACAUACCCGGCGAAAUUGAAGUACUGGUAAAGAUGCCAGUUACCCGUGAUAAGACGGAAAGACCCCAUGGAGCUUUACUGUAACUUGAUAUUGAAUUUUUGUAUUACAUGUACAGGAUAGGUGGGAGACAGAGAACUAAUGCCGCCAGGUGUUAGGGAGUCGAUGUUGGGAUACCACUCUUGUAAUAUGAAGGUUCUAACCUGCACCCGUGAAUCCGGGUGGGGGACACUGUCAGGUGGACAGUUUGACUGGGGCGGUCGCCUCCUAAAAGGUAACGGAGGCGUUCAAAGGUUGGUUCAGCACGGACGGAAAUCGUGCAACGAGUGCAAACGCAUAAACCAGCCUAACUGCGAGACCGACAAGUCGAGCAGUAACGAAAGUUGGAGUUAGUGAUCCGGCGGUAUGAGAGUGGAAUUGCCGUCGCUCAACGGAUAAAAGCUACCCUGGGGAUAACAGGCUGAUCUCCCCCAAGAGUCCACAUCGACGGGGAGGUUUGGCACCUCGAUGUCGGCUCAUCGCAUCCUGGAGCUGAAGUCGGUCCCAAGGGUUGGGCUGUUCGCCCAUUAAAGCGGUACGCGAGCUGGGUUCAGAACGUCGCGAGACAGUUCGGUCCCUAUCUAUCACGGGCGUAGGAAAUUUGAGGAGAGCUGACCUUAGUACGAGAGGACCGGGUUGGACGUACCGCUGGUGCACCUGUUGUUCUGCCAAGGGCAUAGCAGGGUAGCUAAGUACGGACGGGAUAAACGCUGAAGGCAUCUAAGCGUGAAGCCCCCUUCGAGAUAAGAUUUCCCAUAGCGUAGGCUAGUAAGGACCCAUGAAGACUACAUGGUUGAUAGGCCGGAGGUGGAAGUGCAGUAAUGUAUGUAGCUGACCGGUACUAAUAGUCCGAGGGCUUGACCAA
rnacentral:rRNA from 1 species